UACGGGGGGAGCAAGCGUUGUUCGGAUUUACUGGGCGUAAAGGGCGCGUAGGCGGUCAGCACAAGUCAGUUGUGAAAUCUCCGGGCUUAACCCGGAAAGGUCAACUGAUACUGUGCGGCUAGAGUGCGGAAGGGGCAACUGGAAUUCUCGGUGUAGCGGUGAAAUGCGUAGAUAUCGAGAGGAACACCUGCGGCGAAGGCGGGUUGCUGGGCCGACACUGACGCUGAUGCGCGAAAGCCAGGGGAGCGAACGGG
rnacentral:rRNA from 1 species